GAGAGUAGGCGCAGGCGGUUGCGGACUGGCUUAGCGCCAGUCUGAGGAAAGUCCGGGCUCCCGAAAGACCAAACUUGCUGGGUAACGCCCAGUGCGAGCGAUCGCGAGGAUAGUGCCACAGAAAAAUACCGCCGGGAAUAGCUAAUGGCUAAUGGGUAAUCGAGAAUCGGCAAAAAACACCAAUUACCAAUUACCAAUUACCAAUUACCCAUUCCCGGUAAGGGUGCAAAGGUGUGUUAAGAGCGCACCAGCAGCGUCGAGAGGCGCUGGCUCGGUAAACCCCGGUUGGGAGCAAGGUCGGAGGAACAAAGGUUGGUCUUUUCCCCGUUCCGUUGUAGGGGCUUGCCCCUAAGAACCGCAAGAGGCGUCUGGUAACAGGCGUCCCAGAUAGAUAACCGCCCUUUUUGGCUGCACCGCAACCAAACAGAACAGAACCCGGCUUAUGUCCUACUCUCUCUU
rnacentral:RNase_P_RNA from 1 species